UUUGGGGAGAAAAAAUUCCUUCACAAAUGUGUUGAUGGCUGGACAUUGCAUCAUCCUAGAAAACUUGGAGGCCAGUGAGGACAAAAAUAAAAAGUUAUAAGACUUUUAAAAAUGUGGAUAUUUGGGUCCUCUUUGGCGCCCCCUAGAACGUAAACUGUGGGGUGCAGCGUCAUGAUUUGUACAACUUUGAAUGGCCAUGGGGUGUAGAUUGACCUGAGCAAAUUUGAAGCCGAUGGGACAAAAGAUUUAGGAGGAGUUAGCGAAAUUCCAAUGUGUGCGGAUCGGCAAAAAAUGCGAAAUAACCCUUUAACCGUACAUUUGACAGAUACGCCCGCACUGACUUUUUUGUAGAUCUUAUUGAGAUACAUGUGUGUGUCAAAUUUUGUGUCAUUUUGACAAAGCGUAAAGGCGUGACAGUCAACAAUGUGUAUUUUGGCCUUAGGAGACAAGAAAAAAUGGACUUUUUUCUCCUGCCAUGGGGGGGGGGGCGCUCUUUUGGCGAGUAAAAAUUCCUUCACAAAUGUGUUGAUGGCUGGACAUUGCAUCAUCCUAGAGAACUUGGAGGCCAGUGAGGACAAAAAUAAAAAGUUAUAAGACUUUUAAGACUGUGGAUUUUUGGGUUAUCUUUGGCGCCCCCUAGAACGUAAACCGUGGGGUGCAGCGUCAUGAUUUGUACAACUUUUAAUGGCCAUGGGGUGUAGAUUGGCCUCAGCAAAUGUGGUGCCUUUGGAACGAAAGCCUUCGGAGGAGUUAGCAAAAUUCCAAUGUGUGCGGAUCGGCAAAAAAUGCAAAAUAACCCAUUAACCGUACAUUUGACAGAUACGCCCGCACUGACUUUUUUGUAGAUCUUAUUGAGAUACAUGUGUGUGUCAAUUUUUGUGUCAAUAUGACAAAGCGUACAGCCGUCAUGUGAAUUUUCACCUUAGGGGGCGCUAUGGAGCCAUUUUGCAUUUUAUUGUUUGGGCGACUUCAGAAUAUCGAAUUUUUCACCAGGCCCGGUCGUCCUGCCAAAUGUCCUGAGUUUUCGCCAGUGGGAAGUGGGCCAUUUUCCAGUUUGAAGCGGAGGAAAAAUAAUAACGAAAGAAGGAAACAUGCAGGAACAAGAGGGCUCUCGCAGCUGCUUAGCAGCUACGCUCGGGCCCUAAAGAAGAAUCCAUCAGGAAUAAUAGGGCUCUCGCAGCUGCUUAGCAGCUACGCUCGGGCCCUAAAAAGAAACAAAGAAAAACCACUUGGGGAAUAAUAGGGCUCUCGCAGCUGCUUAGCAGCUACGCUCGGGCCCUAACUAGGGCCCCGUUGGGGCACUGGCGGGCCCGAGCCGUGUCGCGCCGCCCCCAGCGCGACCGCCUACCCCUCCCGAUCGCGUCACACUCAAGGUCCAAAGAUGGUGUGCGCACUUGUCUGUGGUCAUUUACCAUUAUAAUGAAUGGGAGGCGCAGUUUCUACCAAAACGCUCGCUGCAGACAAACUCCAUGUCCUUUUUGAAAAAAGUCUGGACCAUGAGUGAGGGCACAAACACAGCUAGUAUAUAUCCAAAUGGCAAGUUGCUCCUCCUUUCCGUUUUGCCGAGAGAGCGAUGCGUUUGAGCCAUUGAGCGAUGGGCAGGAAAAACUUGACUUUUUCUCCUGCCAUGGGGGGGCGCUCUUUUGGGGAGAAAAAAUUCCUUCACAAAUGUGUUGAUGGCUGGACAUUGCAUCAUCCUAGAGAACUUGGAGGCCAGUGAGGACAAAAAUAAAAAGUUAUAAGACUUUUAAAAAUGUGGAUAUUUGGGUCCUCUUUGGCGCCCCCUAGAACGUAAACCGUGGGGUGCAGCGUCAUGAUUUGUACAACUUUGAAUGGCCAUGGGGUGUAGAUUGACCUGAGCAAAUUUGAAGCCGAUGGGACAAAAGCUUUAGGAGGAGUUAGUGAAAUUCCAAUGUGUGCGAAUCGGCAAAAAAUGCGAAAUAGCCCUUUAACCGUACAUUGAACAGAUACGCUCGCAUUGACUUUUUCGUAGAUCGUAUUGAGAUACAUGUGUAUGUCAAUUUUUGUGUCAUUUUGACAAAGCAUACAGGCGUGACAGUCAACAAUGUGUAUUUUCGCCUUAGGAGACAAGAAAAAAUUGACUUUUUUCUCCUGCCAUUGGGGGGCGCUCAUUUGGGGAGUAAAAAUUCCUUCACAAAUGUGUUGAUGGCUGGACAUUGCAUCAUCCUAGAGAACUUGGAGGCCAGUGAGGACAAAAAUAAAAAGUUAUAAGACUUUUAAGACUGUGGAUUUUUGGGUUAUCUUUGGCGCCCCCUAGAACGUAAACCGUGGGGUGCAGCGUCAUGAUUUGUACAACUUUUAAUGGCCAUGGGGUGUAGAUUGGCCUGAGCAAAUGUGGUGCCGUUGGAACGAAAGCCUUCGGAGGAGUUAGCGAAAUUCCAAUGUGUGCGGAUCGGCAAAAAAUGCGAAAUAACCCUUUAACCGUACAUUUGACAGAUACGCCCGCACUGACUUUUUUGUAGAUCUUAUUGAGAUACAUGUGUGUGUCAAUUUUUGUGUCAAUAUGACAAAGCGUAAAGGCGUGACAGUCAAUAGUGUGAAUUUUCACCUUAGGGGGCGCUAUGGAGCCAUUUUGCAUUUUAUUGUUUGGGCGACUUCAGAAUAUCGAAUUUUUCACCAGGCCCGGUCGUCCUGCCAAAUUUCAUGAGUUUUCGCCAGUGGGAAGUGGGCCAUUUUCCAGUUUAAAGCGGAGGAAAAAUAAUAACUAGGGCCCCGUUGGGGCACUGGCGGGCCCGAGCCGUGUCGCGCCGCCCCCAGCGCGACCGCCUACCCCUCUUGAUCGCGUCACACUCAAGGUCCAAAGAUGGUGUGCGCACUUGUCUGUGGUCAUUUACCAUUAUAAUGAAUGGGAGGCGCAGUUUCUACCAAAACGCUCGCUGCAGACAAACUCCAUGUCCUUUUUGAAAAAAGUCUGGACCAUGAGCGAGGGCACAAACACAGCUAGUAUAUAUCCAAAUGGCAAGUUGCUCCUCCUUUCGGUUUUGCCGAGAGAGCGAUGCUUUUGAGCCAUUGAGCGAUGGGCAGGAAAAACUUGACUUUUUCUCCUGCCAUGGGGGGCGCUCUUUUGGGGAGAAAAAAUUCCUUCACAAAUGUGUUGAUGGCUGGACAUUGCAUCAUCCUAGAAAACUUGGAGGCCAGUGAGGACAAAAAUAAAAAGUUAUAAGACUUUUAAAAAUGUGGAUAUUUGGGUCGUCUUUGGCACCCCCUAGAACGUAAACCGUGGGGUGCAGCGUCAUGAUUUGUACAACUUUGAAUGGCCAUGGGGUGUAGAUUGACCUGAGCAAAUUUGAAGCCGAUGGGACAAAAGCUUUAGGAGGAGUUAGCCACAUUCCAAUGUGUGCGAAUCGGCAAAAAAUGCAAAAUAGCCCUUUAACCGUACAUUGAACAGAUACGCUCGCAUUGACUUUUUCGUAGAUCUUAUUGAGAUACAUGUGUGUGUCAAAUUUUGUGUCAUUUUGACAAAGCGUAAAGGCGUGACAAUCAACAAUGUGUAUUUUCGCCUUAGGAGACAAGAAAAAAUGGACUUUUUUCUCCUGCCAUGGGGGGCGCUCUUUUGGCGAGUAAAAAUUCCUUCACAAAUGUGUUGAUGGCUGGACAUUGCAUCAUCCUAGAGAACUUGGAGGCCAGUGAGGACAAAAAUAAAAAGUUAUAAGACUUUUAAGACUGUGGAUUUUUGGGUUAUCUUUGGCGCCCCCUAGAACGUAAACCGUGGGGUGCAGUGUCAUGAUUUGUACAACUUUUAAUGGCCAUGGGGUGUAGAUUGGCCUGAGCAAAUGUGGUGCCGUUGGAACGAAAGCCUUCAGAGGAGUUAGCGAAAUUCCAAUGUGUGCGGAUCGGCAAAAAAUGCGAAAUAACCCUUUAACCGUACAUGUGACAGAUACGCCCGCACUGACUUUUUUGUAGAUCUUAUUGAGAUACAUGUGUGUGUCAAAUUUUGUGUCAUUUUGACAAAGCGUAAAGGCGUGACAGUCAACGAUGUGUAUUUUCGCCUUAGGAGACAAGAAAAAAUGGACAUUUUUCUCCUGCCAUGGGGGGCGCUCUUUUGGCGAGUAAAAAUUCCUUCACAAAUGUGUUGAUGGCUGGACAUUGCAUCAUCCUAGAGAACUUGGAGGCCAGUGAGGACAAAAAUAAAAAGUUAUAAGACUUUUAAGACUGUGGAUUUUUGGGUUAUCUUUGGCGCCCCCUAGAACGUAAACCGUGGGGUGCAGCGUCAUGAUUUGUACAACUUUUAUUGGCCAUGGGGUGUAGAUUGGCCUGAGCAAAUGUGGUGCCGGUGGAAGGAAAACCUUCGGAGGAGUUAGCGAAAUUCCAAUGUGUGCGGAUCGGCAAAAAAUGCGAAAUAAACCUUUAACCGUACAUUUGACAGAUACGCCCGCACUGACUUUUUUGUAGAUCUUAUUGAGAUACACGUGUGUGUCAAAUUUUGUGUCAUUUUGACAAAGCGUACAGGUGUGACACUCAAUCAUGUGAAUUUUUCACCUUAGGGGGCGCUAUGGAGCCAUUUUGCAUUUGAUUGUUUGGGCGACUUCAGAAUAUCGAAUUUUUCACCAGGCCCGGUCGUCCUGCCAAAUUUCAUGACUUUUCACCAGUGGGAAGUGGGCCAUUUUCCAGUUCAAAGGGGCAGAAAAAUAAUAAGAAGAAGAAGAAGAAGAAAGAAGAAUCCAUCAGGAAUAAUAGGGCUCUCGCAGCUGCUUAGCAGCUACGCUCGGGCCCUAAUAAUAAUAAUAAUAACAAAAGAAGAAUCCAUCAGGAACAAGAGGGCUCUCGCAGCUGCUUAGCAGCUACGCUCGGGCCCUAAAAAGUUAUAAGACUUUUAAAUAUGUGGAUUUUAGGGUUAUCUUUGGCGCCCCCUAGAACCUAAACCGUGGGGUGCAGCGUCAUGAUUUGAAUAACUUUUAAUGGCCAUGGGGUGUAGAUUGGCCUGAGCAAAUGUGGUGCCGGUGGAACGAAAGCCUUCAAAAGGAGUUAGCGAAAUUCCAAUGUGUGCGAAUCUGCAAAAAAUGCGAAAUCACCCUUUAACCGUACAUUUUACAGAUACGUGGCCAUUGACUUUUUCGAAGAUCUUAUUGAAAGACACGUGUAUGUAAAAUUUUGUGUCAAUACGACAAAACAUACAGGCGUAGCACUCAACAAUGUGUAUUUUCACCUUAGUGGACAAGAAAAAAUGGACUUUUUUCUCCUGCCAUGGGGGGCGCUCUUUUGGCGAGUAAAAAUUCCUUCACAAAUGUGUUGAUGGCUGGACAUUGCAUCAUCCUAGAAAACUUGGAGGCCAGUUGGGACAAAAAUAAAAAGUUAUAAGACUUUUAAAUAUGUGGAUUUUACGGUUAUCUUUGGCGCCCCCUAGAACCUAAACCGUGGGGUGCAGCGUCAUGAUUUGAAUAACUUUUAAUGGCCAUGGGGUGUAGAUUGGCCUGAGAAAAUGUGGUGCCGGUGGAACGAAAGCCUUCGGAGGAGUUAGCGAAAUUCCAAUGUGUGCGGAUCGGCAAAAAAUGCGGAAUAACCUUUUAACCGUACAUUUGACAGAUACGUGCGCAUUGACUUUUUUGUAGAUCUUAUUGAGAUACAUGUGUGUGUCAAUUUUGGUGUCAUUUUGCCAAAGCGUACAGGUGUUACACUCAACAAUGUGUAUUUUCACCUUAGGGGACAAGAAAAAAUGGACUUUUUUCUCCUGCCAUGGGGGGGCGCUCUUUUGGGGAGUAAAAAUUCCUUCACAAAUGUGUUGAUGGCUGGACAUUGCAUCAUCCUAGAAAACUUGGAGGCCAGUGAGGGCAAAAAUAAAAAGUUAUAAGACUUUUAAAUAUGUGGAUCUUAGGGUUAUCUUUGGCGCCCCCUAGAACCUAAACCGUGGGGUGCAGCGUCAUGAUUUGAAUAACUUUUAAUGGCCAUGGGGUGUAGAUUGGCCUGAGCAAAUGUGGUGCCGGUGGAACGAAAGCCUUCGGAGGAGUUAGCGAAAUUCCAAUGUGUGCGGAUCUGCAAAAAAUGCGAAAUAACCCUUUAACCGUACAUUUGACAGAUACGCCCGCACUGACUUUUUUGUAGAUCUUAUUGAGAUACAUGUGUGUGUCAAUUUUUGUGUCAUUUUGACAAAGCGUACAGGCGUGACAGUCAAUAGUGUGAAUUUUCACCUUAGGGGGCGCUAUGGAGCCAUUUUGCAUUUUCUUGUUUGGGCGACUUCGGAAUAUCAAAUUUUUCACCAGGCCCGGUCGUCCUGCCAAAUUUCAUGAGUUUUCGCCAGUGGGAAGUGGGCCAUUUUCCAGUUCAAAGGGGAGGAAAAAUAAUAAUAAUAAUAAUAAUAACAAAAGAAGGAAACAUGCAGGAACAAGAGGGCUCUCGCAGCUGCUUAGCAGCUACGCUCGGGCCCUAAUAACAAAAGAAGGAAACUACAAGAACAAGAGGGCUCUCGCAGCUGCUUAGCAGCUACGCUCGGGCCCUAACUAGGACCCCGUUGGGGCACUGGCGUGCCCGAGCCGUGUCGCCCCCCCCCCCCCCCCCCCCCGCGCUGCCUCCCCGUCCCAUUUGUGUCCUCUGGCCAUCGCCCUCUCUGGUAACGCCCAUCACUGCAAAGACCCUUUUCCUUGAUCGGCGUUUGCUGUUCUUCCUGCCAGUGCGUGUUGCUUUCACUUACACUUGCCACAGCCAGCCUCGUGAGUGCCUAGCCUAUUCGAUAUCACUGUCACCUACACAGGACAGUCAUUACCUUUCUAUUAAUACUUUGUGUUUUAAUUUCACAUUAAUUUCCAUAUUGUAUAAACGACUGGAAAAAACUUGAGCCCCUGCCCCUGUAUAAUCAUGUGCAUGUCUCUGUUCUAGCUCCAAGGUGAAUCU